rnacentral:rRNA from 1 species
UACGGGGGGGGCAAGCGUUGCUCGGAAUCACUGGGCGUAAAGGGUGCGUAGGCGGGUCUUUAAGUCAGGGGUGAAAUCCUGGAGCUCAACUCCAGAACUGCCUUUGAUACUGAGGAUCUUGAGUUCGGGAGAGGUGAGUGGAACUGCGAGUGUAGAGGUGAAAUUCGUAGAUAUUCGCAAGAACACCAGUGGCGAAGGCGGCUCACUGGCCCGAUACUGACGCUGAGGCACGAAAGCGUGGGGAGCAAACGGG